rnacentral:rRNA from 2 species
GGGUUGUGAGGUUAAGCGACUAAGCGUACACGGUGGAUGCCCUGGCAGUCAGAGGCGAUGAAGGGCGUGCUAAUCUGCGAUAAGCGCCGGUAAGGUGAUAUGAACCGUUAUAACCGGCGAUACCCGAAUGGGGAAACCCAGUGUGAUUCGUCACACUAUCAUUAACUGAAUCCAUAGGUUAAUGAGGCGAACCGGGGGAACUGAAACAUCUAAGUACCCCGAGGAAAAGAAAUCAACCGAGAUUCCCCCAGUAGCGGCGAGCGAACGGGGAGGAGCCCAGAGCCUGAAUCAGCAUGUGUGUUAGUGGAAGCGUCUGGAAAGGCGCGCGAUACAGGGUGACAGCCCCGUACACAAAAGCGCAUGUGCUGUGAGCUCGAUGAGUAGGGCGGGACACGUGGUAUCCUGUCUGAAUAUGGGGGGACCAUCCUCCAAGGCUAAAUACUCCUGACUGACCGAUAGUGAACCAGUACCGUGAGGGAAAGGCGAAAAGAACCCCGGCGAGGGGAGUGAAAAAGAACCUGAAACCGUGUACGUACAAGCAGUGGGAGCACCCUUUGGGUGUGACUGCGUACCUUUUGU